UGGGGAAUAUUGGACAAUGGGGGAAACCCUGAUCCAGCGACGCCGCGUGAGUGAAGAAGUAUUUCGGUAUGUAAAGCUCUAUCAGCAAGGAAGAAAAUGACGGUACUUGACUAAGAAGCCCCGGCUAACUACGUGCCAGCAGCCGCGGUAAUACGUAGGGGGCAAGCGUUAUCCGGAUUUACUGGGUGUAAAGGGAGCGUAGACGGCAAAGCAAGUCUGAAGUGAAAGCCCCGGGCUCAACCCGGGAACUGCUUUGGAAACUGUUUAGCUAGAGUGCAGGAGAGGUAAGUGGAAUUCCUAGUGUAGCGGUGAAAUGCGUAGAUAUUAGGAGGAACACCAGUGGCGAAGGCGGCUUACUGGACUGUAACUGACGUUGAGGCUCGAAAGCGUGGGGAGCAAACAGGA
rnacentral:rRNA from 1 species